rnacentral:misc_RNA from 1 species
UGUCGAAAGGUUGGCAGUGGUAGAUAACGUCAAGAGUAUUCCCUGUUCAUUUCCUGCUGCAUAAAUAUACGUAGUUCAGGUUAUUAAAAUACUAGAAGUGAAUGUCAACAGAUUAGUUUUUGUCUAGAUUUUUGUGUAAAAAUGUAAAAAUCGAGUUAAUUUGUUGUCGUGUAUGAUGGGUGCAAAAGAUUCCAAACGUAGUUGUUUGAGCUAUGAAGAUGCCGUUAAACGAAUGACAGAUGUGGAAUUCAAGAGGGUGUGCGAAGCCUUCAAGAGAUUGACUGGGGGUGGUCAGUUGUUAGGAAAGCAGUCAUUCACUCAAAAUGUUCUUGGUGACGGAGUACCGGUGUCCAUAGGAGAAUGGCUGUACACUGCGUGCGGUGGAACCCCCCGAGGGAUCGCUCUCAGAGAUCUCAUCUGCGGGUUGGUUCUUCUCACAAAAGGCUCCCAAGAAGAAAAGAUAAAAUUCUUAUGGACCCUCUACUGCAACGAUUCUACAGGCUACAUCACCAAAAAUGAGUUUAUGAGUGCUCUACAAACUGAAGGUACGUUGCCAACGUGCUGCUCUGAUAAGCCCAACAUAGAGUAUACAGUACGUUCCUUAUUCGGAAUUGGUCAGGACAAAGUGGGUUUCGAUCAUUUCCACGCCUGGAUCCAGUAUAACAAGAGUGCUACAAUAUUAUCGAGAUGGCUGCUGGCAAAUCCAUGUGUAUCACUGAGUUCCGAGUUAGAAACUCCCACUUUUUAUCAGACCCUCGCCGGAGUGACGCAUCUCGAGGAACAAGAUAUUUGCGAGUUAGAGAAAUGCUUCUGGUCCUUAACCAGUUCGUCUCAAACAGGACAACUCGAUCUAGAAUCUAUAAGCGCCCUUGUAAGCCCUCCAGUACCCGUCAGCGCAUGCGUAGGAUUAUUCAUGGCCCUAGACGUAAACGGAGACGGUCACGUGGACUUCAAGGAACUAUGUUGCGGUAUCUCUGCGGCUUGCAGGGGACCCAUUGCGGAACGCGUUAAAUUCUGCUUCAAAAUAUUCGACGUAGACAAAAACGGUCGUCUUAACACGAAAGAACUCCAAACCAUGAUCGAAAUUCUCUUUUUCAUAGCAAAAGAGAACAAAUUGUUCUGCUCGUCGCAGACCAACAACAAACAUACGUUCAGCACCCUAGAGAGGAGAAGUUUCAGUUCCCAUAAUCGUGCUAGUUUUGUGAUCAAAUCUAGCAAUGAAAAAUUGAAAGAGAACGACAGUGAGACAAAGGGAAGGAAAGAUUGUCUCAUAACUGAUAUUGUUAAACUGCCUCCUGACGCCAGAACAAACGAAGACAUGAAGGAAAAAGAAAUUGGGCUAAUGCUGAUCGAUAAUUCGAUGGCAUACGCUCAACAGACCCUCGACGAAUCUCACAUAAAGUCCUUGCAUGGUCUGAAAGCACGACUGGACGAACGAGGUCAUUUAAAUCAAGAAGAGUUUCUCAUUUGGGGAGUGGACAAUAAUCCUUUCAUAUCUCCACUGCUGGAACUCCUAUUUGAAGUGGGACACGUGUGCCUAGGCCUGAAACCCCACUGUCGACAUCACGAAUAUGACAUUGUUAUGGGAUGGUUGUCGAGAGAAGAAAGCAGAGGCUACCAUGUUGGACAGUUCUGGUACUUGGUGUCAUCGGAUUGGUGGCAAUCCUGGCUUAACUAUACCACGGCAUCGAAGACCAGCUACGAUCAUUGCAAUUGCAAAGCAGACAAUAGCAGGAUAGCGAUAGAAGAGGGCAUCGUUUGCGAUGAGAGCUUCAGCAGCACGGAUUACACAUCCUCUCACUCUAAUGAGCUGACCUCCAAUAGCACGGACUCGAUGGGUGACCUCCUGAGUCGUGGAGACAGUUGUAGUAUAGCAUCAAGUUCAGGGGUAUCCAGCAGUUCAGGAAACGGCUCAAAACGUCAACAAAACAGCCCGGGCCCCAUUGAUAAUACAAACCUUGUUGCAGAACCCGUUAUUCGAGCUGGGACGCUUACAGGAGAAGGUGGUCGAUUAAAGAAAGAUACUCCUCUGGUUCAACAUAGAGACUUUGAAUUGGUACCGGACUCGUUAUGGAAGGCCUUAGCUCUCUGGUAUGGCGGUCCCUUACCCCUUCCCAGGCAAGUUAUCAAGCCUCCUGGGAGCACGGAAGUCGAACUAGAACUUUACCCCUUAAAUUUGAGGAUAUUACGGCACCAAAGUCAACAACUAAACUCUACAGCCUCUUGGAACAGUGUUGUGGGAGGGUAUGGAGCUUCUGGUUUAAACUCAGCAGGUAUUUCGGCGUCUCCAGUGAUGGCCCCACGACGUUACCUAGCUCACACAGCCGCCUUCAGCAGGCUCGCGACCGUUCGUCAAGUGAUUGAAUUCCUGUCAUCCCGUCUGGGAUUCCGGGUUGAAGACGUUCGUCUUUGGUACGUCAGGGACACUGCGAUCCCUCUGGAGGACGAAAACUCUACAUUGCAAGAGUUAGGAGUCCAAGACAAUGAUCAAAUUCUACUCGAGAAAAGAAACAAAGACCUUACUUGGCCCGAAGAGCUUGGUGCUCUCGCUUCUGGUAACGUAGGAGGUUCGUACCGUGACCGACGACCCACUGUGGCUCUGCCGCCCGGGGCAACAGGACUUCAUAAUCUCGGCAACACCUGUUUCAUGAAUUCAGCCCUACAGGCUGUUUCCAAUACUAGACCGCUAACGUUGUACUUUAAACGUGACAUGCAGCUGUGCGAAUUGAAUACUUCAAAUCCGUUGGGGACAAAGGGACAGGUGGCUAGGAAGUAUGCGGAGUUGUGUAGAGAGCUUUGGGCUGGGUCGACCAGAAGCGUUGCGCCUAUAGGACUACGAUGUUGCGUAACGAAACACGCUCCUCAUUUGAGCGGCGGUGGACAGCAUGAUUCACAAGAACUUCUGGCGUGGUUACUCGACGCCCUGCACGAGGACUUGAACAGGGUGACAAGGAAGCAGUACACAGAACUCAGGGACUCUGACGGUCGUCCCGACGCCAUCGUGGCCGACGAGGCUUGGCAACAACAUCUUGCGCGAGACCAUUCUAUCAUCACCGAUCUGUUUUAUGGGCAACUUAAAAGCAAGGUCACCUGUCAAACUUGCGGUAAUGAGUCAGUACGUUUCGACGCCUUCAACCUCCUCAGUCUGCCUCUACCCAUGGAGAGUUACACUCUUUGCGAAAUUUUAGUUAUCCGCUUAAAUGGCGAAAUGCCUGUCAAAUAUGGCCUGCGAUUGAACUCAGAAGCAAAAUACUUGGAACUGAAGCAUCAACUGGAGCAACUGUGCGACAUACCGGGCGACAGACUAAUGCUGGCCGAAGUGGCAUCUUCCCAAAUCAAAACGGUGCUCGCCGAUGACGCCCGAAUAAAUCCCGGAACUGCUACCGAGCUCUAUGCCUACGAAUUGCCUGUGCCUUGUACCGAAAUCGUCAACGGGACUUUGGAUCCUGAGCCAGAAAUAGAAACGUCGCUGAGCCAGAGUCCACUGGCACGAAGCCCUGAGGUAAGCGGCGGUUCGACGCUUUGCAUGCCCAACAUUCUUUGUUUCAAGGCAGAAGUUGACAGAAACUGUGAAAAUCGUUCUUUUACAAAAAUGGGAGGUUCAGCAAAAUGCAGAAGACCCUCGGCAGCCCCACGACCCACCCUCCCACGUUCAGAUAGCGUUGAUAAAGUUCCAGCCUAUUUGGUAGCAGUCCAUCGAAAAUGUGUUCGUCAAGAGACAUACUUUUUGUCACAACACAAGUUAAAACCCAGCCUCUUUGGAAUGCCUCUGCUACUGGGCUGUAACGCUAAUAGCACUUGCAAAGACCUGUACGAAAUGGUUUGGAAACAGGUCACGCGCCUUCUUAGUCCACUGCCUCAAAGCGACCAAACAAAUCAUGCAACUGAUUGUGAUGAUUCAUUGGGUUACGAAUUCCCUUUCACUCUGAAAGCCGUCCUCCAGGGCGGCCAAAUUUGUGCCUUAUGCCCCUGGACGCAAUUUUGUAGGGGUUGCGUUAUCUCUUACUGCGACGAAAACCUUUUCAACAUAUGCAAAACUGCGAACAGUAGUGGAAUGUGUGUUGCUAUCGAUUGGGAUCCUACUGCUUUACAUCUUCGGUACCAAAGCAGCAGGGAAAAAGUCUGGCAUGAACACGAGUCAGUGACAAUUUGUAGAAAACUCCAUACAGAACCAAUCGAUUUAGAUUAUUGUCUGAGGGCUUUCACCUCCGAGGAAAGACUGGAAGCGAAGUAUCACUGCUCUAAAUGUCAAGAGAAACAGCCUGCUACCAAAAAGCUGCAGAUAUGGAGAUUGCCUCCCAUUUUGAUAAUUCACCUCAAAAGAUUCGACUGCGUAAACAGCAAGUGGGUAAAAACGCAAAAAGUAGUUAAUUUCCCAUUUAAGGACUUCGAUCCCACACCUUAUUUGGCUGCAGUCCCACAGGAAACAAUCAUACGUCAUCGGCAGUUACUCAAAAAACGAAAAAAUAAAAUUUUGAUUGAAAAUAACAGAACACCCCCAACUAAAGGAAAUGUAAACGAGGAAGAUGUCGCUUCGGUAUUAGAGAACGAUAAAAGCGUCAAAAUCAACAAUAUAGACGAUCCAUUUUUGGACAUCAAGGUUCCAGAUAAAGGUGAAUGCGUGAUUGUAGGCGAAAAUAGCGAGUCCGCCAGCGAAACCAGUCGAUUAGUAGAUAGCGAGGAGAGUGCCGAUGAGAUAGGUAACUGCUCGAUACCGUUCGGGCUCCCUAAAGGGGGCAGCAAAAUGCGCGAACGUCUCAUUUCUACCAGUCUACAGAAAACGCCCAUUAAUGACGAAGAUCUAAAAGACUUCCAUGAACACAAACUGUUACCAGGACAAGACCCUUUCGACCUCAAGUAUCAACUCUACGCAGUUGUGAGUCAUUCAGGUCUACUGACUGGCGGCCAUUACAUUUCAUACGCCUGCAACCCCAAUGGUCACUGGUACUGUUACAAUGACAGUUCGUGUCGAGAAAUCCCUGCCGAUGAUCCUCCUGUCGUGGUCGACUAUUCGGCCACUGGGGGCGACGUGCCCGUAUCGUCUCAAGUUGCGCGCAUGCCCUACUCAAAGCCAGUCAGUCGUAGCGCGAACGCCACGCCCGUAAUACGUCGUAAGACGUACACGAACGCGAACCGAGCGUCGUUGAUGACGACUUCCCUGUGUGAAAGGGGCGGCAGCGAUUCUACAGUCAACGCCAGUCGUGAUUCUGCGUCGUCAUGCUCGAAUCUCGAAAACAGUAGCGCGAGCGAGAGCAAUUCGACGAUCACGCCUGAGAUCAGCGCAGUUGGCGUUGAAACGUCGUGUUGUGCUACAGACUCGACGACAUCUUGCGACGAUCGUUCUGACGAGGUCGAUGGCGCUCGAUGUCGACCUAUUGUUGAGGCCGAAUCGUCGGUGUCGUUGAAUGAGUUUAGGUGCGCUUAUAGUGACGCGAAAACGCCCAAGAUCGACACGAGCAGUGCAUAUAUCCUAUUCUAUGAACGUUCAGGUCUCGAUUAUCGACCUUAUUUGCCUGAGAUUGUAUCAAAUGGACCGGUCGCAGCCGUUGAUCCGGAAAUGGACGAGAGCGAGUCGGAACUGAGGAAGCAGCUUUGUGCCAUACAGUAAAUCCCCGCCGCUUUUGGUCUGAUAUAAUGAUGGUACUACUGCUUUCUUCUGAUUCUUUGGCCGCUUCGUUUCAAGGUAUAAACAAUAUGAAACAAAAAGCUCCCAUAACAAUAAAAAUGUGUUUUUGUUCGUCAAAUGCUGAUCCUAGACAAGAAAUUGGGAAGAACAACAGGACCCUUGAAAUUAACUGUUUGGGUGAGU